AAUUUAAACUACUGCACCUAAAUUUAUAUCUUAAUCCAACAUCGAGGUCGCAAUCUUUUUUAUCAAUAUGAACUCUCCAAAAAAAUUACGCUGUUAUCCCUAAAGUAACUUAAUUUUUUAAUCAUUAAAAAUGGAUCAAUUAUUCAUAAAUUAAUGAUUUAAAUUUUAAAAGUUAAUUAAAUUUUAAUAUCACCCCAAUAAAAUAUAUUUUUUUAUUAUAAUAAAAUUAUUCUUUAAAAUUAAAAUAAUAAAUAUAUAAAGAUUUAUAGGGUCUUCUCGUCUUUUAAUAAUAUUUUAGCUUUUUGACUAAAAAAUAAAAUUCUAUUAUAGAUUUAAAUGAAACAGUUAAUAUUUCGUCCAACCAUUCAUUCCAGCCUUCAAUUAAAAGACUAAUGAUUAUGCUACCUUUGCACAGUUAAGAUACUGCGGCCAUUAAAUAAAUUCAUU
rnacentral:rRNA from 1 species